rnacentral:rRNA from 1 species
CCCUACGGGGUGCAGCAGGCUGGAGACGAUCUGCAGGUUAUUCUUGACGCGGUGAUGAAUCUCUUUGAGCAGCAACUCCUUCUCCUGCAAUGAUGCCUUCAGCUUCUCCUCGCCGAUUUUGCGCUCGGUAAUGUCCAUAAGAGAUGCAACGCUCUGAUCUGUGCCUGGAAUCAUGGCUAUGGUCAUGAAUAUGUGCCGUAUCCUUCCCAGGCCAUCGAUCAGCCGGAACUCAUAGCUUCGGGGGGCAGCCUCAGGAUCAAUUCGCCGCAGAGCAUGGUUCUUCUUCAUCAGCUCCAGAUCUUCCGGGAAGAUGAACUCCGUCCAGCUUUUCUUUCCCACCACAUCGCGGCCAUUGUAGCCGAAGAUCCUCUCCGCCUAGGAAUUGGCGGGAGGGC